ACAAAGGGCAGCAAACUUGCGAGGGCAAGCAAAUCCCAUAAACCGUGGCUCAGUUCAGAUCGUAGGCUGCAACUCGCCUACGUGAAGUAGGAAUCGCUAGUAAUCGCAGGUCAGCAUACUGCGGUGAAUACGUUCCCGGGCCUUGUACACACCGCCCGUCACACCAUGGAAGUUGGCCAUGCCCGAAGUCGUUACUCCAACCCUUGUGGAGGAGGACGCCGAAGGUGGGGCUAAUGACUGGGGUGAAGUCGUAACAAGGUAGCCGUACCGGAAGGUGCGGCUGGAUCACCUCCUAAC
rnacentral:rRNA from 1 species